rnacentral:lncRNA from 10 species
GCAACAAAGAAGCUCUGAGCAAAAGGCAGGGGCAGGAGUGGGCAGGGGAAGGGCUCGGCCAGGGCCCAUGUGACGUCACUGCCUGUGGACACGCUGAGCUGUGGCCCGGUGGCUGUGGUGAGUGGUCAGUCAUCUGCAGUGGCCACUGACCUCAUGGUCACUCGUCAGGCAUGGAGUGAACCUCCUCAUGGCCCUGGGGAUACAGUCACCUGAGACAUAGCUCCAGGGAGCCCCAGGGCCACAGAUGGUUACAUCCCGAGGACAUGCUAGGGGAGCCUCAAGGGGUCGAAGCAGAGUGAGGUGAGCUCUGGGCAGUCAGGAAGGGCUCAGAGGCAGGGACUGCUGGAAGGUGGAGGAGGGAUUUGGCAGGUGGGGGACAGCAUUCCAAGGGGAGUCGGGACUGAGGACAAUGGCCCUGGGGGAUUCCAUGGCCCUGUGUGGUUGGUGCAGUGGGGGGACUGAGCAGUGAGGAGGGGGUAUGGCUGCUGUGUUGAGCCGAGAGGAGGGGACUGAAGACAGAAGGUCCCUGUCCUGCUCCCUUGGGCCUGAAUGCCCCCAGACCUCCUUUCUCCCUUUGUUGCUCCCAACCAGAGCCCCAGGGCAUGAGAGGACGCCACCCAGCCACCCACGCAGGGCUCUGCGCCUCACUGUGACCUCCAUCUGUGGGAUCAGCACGGGGCCAGAGUCACCAAAUGCACCAAAUGCUCCAAAUGCACGUGGGAGCCUCAGAGUGAGGAAAGGACUGUCUGUGAAAACCUCCUCUGUCCUGGGUACUGCCUGAAAGCCUGGACUCCGAGGGCCACACAUGACCUGCUCCACCCUCAAGCAGCCCGGAGGGUCUGGACCCAGAAGUGUGGGCAGGACAUGGCAGGCGGCAGGGGGCCGGUCGCUCCCCUUUCAGCUAUGACCAGGCCCCCAGGAAAGCCAGCCACUGGGUGGGCCAGAAGUGGGGGUGGGUGAGUCAGCAGGGCAGAGGCGCCUGCGGGUACUGAGCUGGGGGCCAGGCUGGUUCCAGGACUUCCAGCUCUUCACCCGGGUGAUGCUCAGCUCAUCCCCACUGCUGCCCGGAGCAGUCAGCAAUUCUGUACCCUCCCAAGCAGGGCCCGAGCAGCCACCGCUGCUCCUCAGAGACCCUACUGGGGGCCGAGCUUGGAGGGCGGGGCGGAUCCCGGUUCCAGCCCACUGUGCCUGUCUCUGAAGCCCCGAGCACUGCAUUUACUCCACGAGACCACGCGGGGCCACAAGACCACAUGGGUGGCUGCAGGAGAGCACGUGGUUCAUCUUCACUCGGGGCAGCAUCUGCGCUCCAGCCUGGGCCCUUGGUCUCCAGGUUAGUGUUGGCCGCGUCCUUCCCAUCAGCGCAUCCAGUUGGGCUCUGGUUUUACUGGCGAGGUGGGGAUGGUGAGAGCCAGGGACGGAUCGGCGUCUUCAUCCCAGCUUCCUCGCCACAGCUUAGGGGCCUCAGUGCCCCCUUUGCUGCUGGUAGGGGUUUGUCACAGGGUUCCUGGCCACAUUGCGGGGUCCUAAUGCCAACCUUCUAACUCUCAGCUGGCCGCCGAGGCAAGCAGGCAGGUUCCAGGCCAGACUUCAAGCCACAGGUGCCCAGGCAGGUCCAUUGCUGACGUCGGCAAGGUAGCACCCUGAGCAUGGAUGGAGCCGAAUGCCAGCUUCAGGCAGGCAGGUGGCAGGGGCCCGCAGGUCGGCUCCCGGAGAGCAGGAAAGGGAGGCUGGGGAACCCAAUGGGAAUUC